CGGCGCGGUUAAAUUCCUGGUUUCUCCUUCCCUCGCCAGUCCCCCCGGGCAGAGGGGAGCUGCCGAAGCCUGCGCAGUCGAGAAAGGAGCAAGAAGAGAGUCUGGGGCGUCGUCGCAGCCAGGGAGAGCCGGUCUCGGAGAGCUGGGGCCACCCGGACCCGCUGCCCUCCUCACGCCGUGGGAUGGGGACCAGGUGGGGCUGGGGCUGCCCCUGCCGCUUCCCCGCCUGCCAGGCCCUGCUGCUGCGGCAGGGACGGGCCCUCAGGCCUGCUUCACAGCCACCGGCAGGGCUGUGGAAUAACUGCAAAAUCAGCUUGCUCUCCACCCCUCCCAAAAAAACGUCUCGCUAAUGUGUGCAGCACCUGAUUUGUUUUGGUUGCUGUGUGGCUAAAAUGCACUUGAAUUGAACCAGGGUAACGGAAAGACCCACCCCACGUGCUGGAUCGUCUUUAGGGUAGAUGUUAGCCGUGUGCUGGGUGGGUUUCCCAAAGCAGGGGAGCCUGUUCUGUAGGAACAGCUCCGGGGAGCAGCACACUUCAGCUAAACACUACGUAUCUCAAACUCUAGACCUGUGAGCCUGAUGCAAUGAAAUGAAUUGUCUACUCAAUCCAACACACAGAGCCUUUUAAGACUCAGUAAUUCAAUUUCUCCCCCCAAGUAAAGUGAGAUUACCUGGUAAUAACUUCACUGCAAGGUCUUGGUCUUUAAGAAAAACACCACUUUGCACAACUCAGGGCAACCUGCAAACACUGCCUUAAUUCACUGUAGCUUCAGAGCAGGAAAUGUUGCAAUUUGAUCAAUAUUUGUUCUUCUAAGGUUUGGUGCUCAUAGAUUUUAUCGGUUUUAAUGGUUUUGCCUUUUAUGCUGCAAUGUACAAGGUAAUUUUUAAAAUUGAUGUUCCCAAAUAGUUUAUUGUGCAAAAGGCAAGAAACUAUGAAGAUAAUACAAUGGGAUCAUGAAUGGGUUGCAAAAUACUUUUCAAAGGCAUAGCCAGAAAUUCUCCUUAGACUGAUAGCUACAUGCGAGAUUGCUAACAGCAGGAGUUUAUCGCAUGUUCUUUUUUUUU